rnacentral:lncRNA from 1 species
GGCAUGUUCAUAUGUACAAUGUACGUAGUUGGACUCAACUAAAUGUAUAUAGUGUGCAAAAGUAUGUAAUUUCCUUUUCUAUUUUGGUUUCAGGCAAAAAUUUCAACCUCGUGACCACGAAGCUUAAGGUGGUUUAAUGCCAUCAUGACAUUUUCUUUGGCAUGUUGUCUACAUGGACAACCCUUGUUAUAUCUCAUUGUAAUUCUAUAGAGAUAACCAUUUAGAGAAGGAAAUCUUUAUGUUUCAUAUGUUCUUAGAGCAGUCCUAAUUCCUUGAGAAAUUAUCACUUUUAAUAUCAUUUCCCAAGUUCAAUUUCUAUUUCUAAAGUUGUACUUCAUCGUAUUCACUAAUCAAAUCAAUUUAUGUCUCUCGAGUUCAAAUUAAUCUUAUCUAGUUGAGUUAACUAAUUAUAUUUCUUCGUGAAGUUGAAUAAGUAGUCUCCCCUAAUUAAAUGCAUUAAAUCAUU